rnacentral:lncRNA from 13 species
UCUUCCAUUGACUGGGGGAGUCAACAGAUGGGGAUUGGUCUUGCAUUGACUGGGGGAGUCAUUAACAGAUGGGGAUUGGUCUUCCAUUGACUGGGGGGAGUCUUUCACAGAUGGUGAUUGGUCUUCUAUUGGGGAGCCAUUAACAGAUGGUGAUUGGUCUUCUAUUGACUGGGGGGAGUCUUUAACAGAUGGUGAUUGGUCUUCCAUUGACUGGGGGGAGUCAUUAACAGAUGGGGAUUGGUCUUCCAUUGACUGGGGGGAGUCUUUCACAGAUGGUGAUUGGUCUUCUAUUGGGGAGCCAUUAACAGAUGGUGAUUGGUCUUCUAUUGACUGGGGGGAGUCUUUAACAGAUGGUGAUUGGUCUUCCAUUGACUGGGGGAGUCAUUCACUUCUUAUGGUUGCAGGGGCACCAUUGAGUAGCUUGGAUGAAAGGUGCCCAGAGUAAACGGCCUGCUCCUCAGUCUCAGUUGCUAAUAUAUGC